GACGAACGCUGGCGGCGUGCCUAAUACAUGCAAGUCGAACGCACGAAGUUGAAGAGCUUGCUCUUUAACCAAGUGAGUGGCGGACGGGUGAGUAACACGUGGGUAACCUGCCCAUUAGAGGGGGAUAACAUUCGGAAACGGAUGCUAAUACCGCAUAGUUUCAGGAAUCGCAUGAUUCUUGAAGGAAAGGUGGCUUCGGCUACCACUAAUGGAUGGACCCGCGGCGUAUUAGCUAGUUGGUGAGGUAAUGGCUCACCAAGGCAAUGAUACGUAGCCGACCUGAGAGGGUGAUCGGCCACACUGGGACUGAGACACGGCCCAGACUCCUACGGGAGGCAGCAGUGGGGAAUCUUCCGCAAUGGACGAAAGUCUGACGGAGCAACGCCGCGUGAGUGAAGAAGGUUUUCGGAUCGUAAAACUCUGUUGUUAAAGAAGAACAAGGAUGAGAGUAACUGCUCAUCCCCUGACGGUAUUUAACCAGAAAGCCACGGCUAACUACGUGCCAGCAGCCGCGGUAAUACGUAGGUGGCAAGCGUUGUCCGGAUUUAUUGGGCGUAAAGCGAGCGCAGGCGGUUCUUUAAGUCUGAUGUGAAAGCCCCCGGCUCAACCGGGGAGGGUCAUUGGAAACUGGAGAACUUGAGUGCAGAAGAGGAGAGUGGAAUUCCACGUGUAGCGGCGAAAUGCGUAGAUAUGUGGAGGAACACCAGUGGCGAAGGCGACUCUCUGGUCUGUAACUGACGCUGAGGCUCGAAAGCGUGGGGAGCAAACAGG
rnacentral:rRNA from 1 species